rnacentral:rRNA from 1 species
UACGAAGGGGGCUAGCGUUGUUCGGAAUCACUGGGCGUAAAGCGCACGUAGGCGGAUCUUUAAGUCAGGGGUGAAAUCCCGGGGCUCAACCUCGGAACUGCCUUUGAUACUGGAGAUCUUGAGUCCGGAAGAGGUGAGUGGAACUGCGAGUGUAGAGGUGAAAUUCGUAGAUAUUCGCAAGAACACCAGUGGCGAAGGCGGCUCACUGGACUGGCAUUGACGCUGAGGUGCGAAAGCGUGGGGAGCAAACAGG